rnacentral:rRNA from 1 species
GAUGAACGCUGACAGAAUGCUUAACACAUGCAAGUCAACUUGAACUUCGGUUUGGGUGGCGGACGGGUGAGUAACGCGUAAAGAACUUGCCUCACAGCUAGGGACAACAUUUGGAAACGAAUGCUAAUACCUGAUAUUAUGAUUAUAUGGCAUCGUAUAAUUAUGAAAGCUAUAUGCGCUGUGAGAGAGCUUUGCGUCCCAUUAGCUAGUUGGAGAGGUAACAGCUCACCAAGGCGAUGAUGGGUAGCCGGCCUGAGAGGGUGAUCGGCCACAAGGGGACUGAGACACGGCCCUUACUCCUACGGGAGGCAGCAGUGGGGAAUAUUGGACAAGGGACCGAGAGUCUGAUCCAGCAAUUCUGUGUGCACGAUGAAGUUUUUCGGAAUGUAAAGUGCUUUCAGUUGGGAAGAAAAAAAUGACGGUACCAACAGAAGAAGAGACGGCUAAAUACGUG